CCUACGGGAGGCAGCAGUGAGGAAUAUUGGUCAAUGGACGAGAGUCUGAACCAGUCAAGUAGCGUGAAGGAUGACUGCCCUAUGGGUUGUAAACUCCUUUUAUAUGGGAAUAAAAUGUUCCACGUGUGGGAUUUUGUAUGUACCAUAUGAAUAAGGAUCGGCUAACUCCGUGCCAGCAGCCGCGGUAAUACGGAGGAUCCGAGCGUUAUCCGGAUUUAUUGGGUUUAAAGGGAGCGUAGGUGGAUUGUUAAGUCAGUUGUGAAAGUUUGCGGCUCAACCGUAAAAUUGCAGUUGAAACUGGCAGUCUUGAGUACAGUAGAGGUGGGCGGAAUUCGUGGUGUAGCGGUGAAAUGCUUAGAUAUCACGAAGAACUCCGAUUGCGAAGGCAGUUCACUGGACUGCAACUGACACUGAGGCUCGAAAGUGUGGGUAUCAAACAGGAUUAGAUACCCCAGUAGUC
rnacentral:rRNA from 1 species